rnacentral:tRNA from 1 species
GGUGGCUCAGUGGUAGAGUGUUUGCCUUGCAUGCAUGAAGCCCUGGGUUCGAUUCCUUAGCACCA